rnacentral:tRNA from 2 species
GCGCGGGUGGCGGAAUCGGUAGACGCGCUAGCUUGAGGUGCUAGUGCCAAUUUGAAAGGCGUAGGGGUUCAAGUCCCCUCUCGCGCA